rnacentral:rRNA from 1 species
UGAUGCGAUCAUACCAGCACUAAAGCACCGGAUCCCAUCAGAACUCCGAAGUUAAGUGUGCUUGGGCGAGAGUAGUACUAGGAUGGGUGACCUCCUGGGAAGUCCUCGUGUUGCAUUCC